AGCUCGCGGCACAACCGAACACGCGGUUCACGCGGCGUCAAACAGCAUCCUUCUUUUCUAAACCCUUUGCUUUCUUCAACUGCAUAACCCCCCAACGAAGGCUCCCUCCCUCUCUCUCUCUCUCUCUCUCUCCAUAAAAAUAUAGCUUUAGAUCUCCUGCAAUCCAAACAGUAACAAAGCUUCAAAUUUCAAUUACCAAAUUAAAGCACGAAAGGUGAAAUUCGAACAUGGGUCAUGACGGACACCAUCACCAUCAUCACCACCACCAUGGAAGGGUUAGCCCAUAUGAUGAUCCAUUCAUGGCUUGCUGUUGCAGCCCUUGCUUUCUAGUCUCCGCCAUAUUCAGAGGGCUUGGGAGGUGUUUGUUUGUGACUUGUUACCCACUCAUGCGGUGCUUUGGAUUUGACGAACACAGACACCAUCAGCACCACCACCACAGCCAUUCUUACUGAUCAGUGAUCCUCCAUUUCUACAUCAUUCAACCUACGAUUUGGUUUUUUAGGAAGCAAUUUAUGGAAUCAAAGUAGAUCUGUUUUGUUUGGUAGCUCUGUCGGCAAAUUCAAAUAUACACCGCUUUAUGUUAUUUUCUUUUUUUAAUUAUGACAAUAUUUUAGAUAUGAUUCAUUAAUUCUUUGUUUGUAUCUUGUGUUUAGUUGUGAUAUUUUUUUAUUUUUUUUUUUUUAUGAUUCAAAAAAUUAAGGUUGUGCUAUUUUUCGUUCUAAUCAUACAGUGCAUAUGCAGCAUGAUACUGUUUCCCAGCUCUGUAUAGUGUUAUAUUUGUUUAUUGAACAAGGAAAAAGAACAAAAGAAAUGGAAAUUUGUUGGGCCCUUUUGUAGCUAUUGCAGUUA